CCAUGGGCCUCUCACAGUGCCCCAUGCCAAAGCAAACUGUCACCCCGAACCAUUGUCUGGCUUUACCCCAUGGGCUUCAGGCACUGAAGCGGGUUGCACAGUG
ensembl:snoRNA